UUCAUUUCUUUUAUUUUUUUAAUGCUUUCCUUUACAACUUUUCUUCAAUACUUUUGUAAAUUAUGAGAAACUAUUGUAAAUGUGCAAAUAUGUGAUAAUUUGUUCAAUUAUUGUAAUUGCAUCUUCAACGUCAGAUUUCACUCGAGCCAAACAAAAUACCAGAGAAACGCUUAUACUGAUUGAUUGCGCCUUUCCGAUAUCAUUACCCCUUAAAUUUGGCAAAG
rnacentral:lncRNA from 1 species